AUUUGUGGCACAACAUGUGCCAGACUUGUAUGGCUUUAAACUUAUUGCAACGUGUAUAGCACUACUGAUCUAUGGUUUUAAACUAUGUCUACUAAGCUGAAAAAUAAAGUUAUUGUGCUUUUGGCAUGGGUACUACUGCUAAAUCUAGAUCACUCUGAAACAUGGCAGGGACAUAGAAUCAUACCUGAACAUUUUGAUUAAAGCGAGGAGGAAUGUUGUUGUUUUUGGAACUAUAUAUACUACGCUUUAUCUUAAUGGAACUGUAUCUGUACCUAUACUAAUUAAAUUUAAUAGAACUGUGCCUGUACUAUUUAUGGUGUGCUAUAGACAUAACUGUAUAGGUGACCAUGUUUAGGUAUAUGUUUAGUGUCUUAUUCUAUAUAAUGGUUCUGUUCUGUCACAUGUUUUUUAGUCUGGUGCAUUUUUCUUUUGAUGCAACUUAAA